rnacentral:rRNA from 1 species
UAAUACAGAGGGUGCGAGCGUUAAUCGGAAUUACUGGGCGUAAAGCGCACGCAGGCGGCUUUGCAAGUCGGGUGUGAAAUCCCCGGGCUCAACCUGGGAACUGCGUUUGGUACUGGCAAGCUAGAGUACGGCAGAGGGGGGUGGAAUUCCACGUGUAGCAGUGAAAUGCGUAGAGAUGUGGAGGAACACCGAUGGCGAAGGCAGCCCCCUGGGCCGAUACUGACGCUCAGGCACGAAAGCGUGGGGAGCAAACAGG